CCCGCCGUGACGGCUGCGCCCGCCUAGGCCACGUGCGCCCCCGCGGGCCUCUCGCUGGCGCCCCGCCUGGACGGCGGGCCCUGUUGCCUCCUCUCCUCUCUCCCCUCCCUUCUGCGUCCCCGUCCCUCUUCGCGUGUGCCGGCCUGCCGGACAGCCCGCGCACGGCCCAGCUCCGCGGCUGCCCAGUCUGCCGUUGCUGACUUUGGAGUCAGCGUCUCGCUGUGUAGCCCUGGCUCGCUUCCGAUGCUGCCAAGGGCAUCUAUGGACACCCAUGGACAUCAGCUCCUCGUGGGACUGGGAACAGAAAUUUGAAGUCGGUGUGGUGGCUCACCUCUGUGACCCAAGUUACUCUGGAGGAUCGUGAGUUCAAAGCCAGCAAGACAGAAGACUCCAUUUCAAAACGAAAGGCUAAACAGACUGAGCGGGGACGCACAGCCUGAGGUAACUGAAGAGGCUGCUGUCUGUGUGUGUUGGAAGCUGUCUCCUGAUGGUCGGAAUGCUCCUUUGCAGUUAAACGCUUUUUAUUUAUUUUUUUUUUAAGUUAAGGUUUAAAAAGCUAUGCCUGCGUGUGCACACAGGCUUGCAGGUGCCUGAGCAGGCCGAAAGAAGGUGUCCGAUGUCCGGAGGUGGAGCUGAGGGCAGUUGUGAGGCUGCACAGGGGUGCUGGGAACCAACCUUUGUUCCCCUGAAAGAGCAACAAACACUUGACAGGCGAGGCAGCUGUCCAGGUCCUAAAAGGGUUUUUUUUAAAUAUGUAUUUGUGUGUGGCUGAGUACAUGUAUGUGUACCACAUUCCUGCAGGAGCCCCCGGAGGUCAGGAGAAGGCCUCAGAUCUCCUGGAGGUGGGCUAACAGAUGGUCGCGGGCCACCACAUGGGCACUGGGAAACCGACCCAGGUCUUGUGCAGGAGCAGUAAAGGCUCCUGCCACUGAGCCCUCUUUCCACCCCAGUUAAAUAUUCUUAAAGUGGCAGUUAGGUUCUGGCUGCACCAGAAACUGCUGCCGUUCGGCACUUUGCCAAACGUGUGUACCAAGGAAGGUCUCCUCUGUAGCACUCUUUGUAAAACUACAAAACUACUUUAUUUGGGCUGUUUAGGCCUCAACCUCUCUUCCAACUUCCCAACCCUAUGUAGUCCUCUUACUGGGGAAAGAGGACUGACUUCUCCCAGCUGUUUAGGGUCGAGGGGUUCUCUUAGGGCUCUACCAAUCUCCACCAGCAGCAGUCUCCUCAAAGCUGCUGUGCCCUGAAGCGUUUCUCCCCAUCUGUCUGCUCCAAACCACCAUACAGUCUGUCUCUCUGGUCUUUCCAAACUGCGACACGCCACCCCCCCAUGACACAGCCCAUUUUCUGUCUCUGGGCUCUCAAUUUAUAUGCCUAGAACAUGCCCCUCCGCUUGUUGUGUGUGGUAAACUGUGAUCAGCUGGCAAAGAUCACCCUCCACACAUGACAGUUAACAGGUGUGGACAAACUAUAGGCCAACUGAAAUCCCACACUUGGAAUUAAAACAAAAACAUGAGUUUACAAACAACCUAAAACUUUCAUUACAGAUCUCCUUCAUUACAUUGUUUGCACUGUGGUUUUGAUUCUUCCCCCUCCACGUUUGUGGGCUUUUCAAGAGUAACGUGCAGAGAAAUAACCUGAAAAGGUCUGAUCCAUCAUGAGGAGAGGGGGAAAGGGAGGCAUCUUAGACCCAUGAAUAUGGCUUCUGCCUCAGAAUCUUUAUUAAAAUGUAAAAAUCCGCAAGGCAGGACACAGCUUACCUCAGCCAUUUUGGAUCUGGCCUCUUCAGAUCUCUACAUUUUAACUGUCUCAGCUAAAUUCUCAGUGGAGGAAAAGAACAGAGAACAAUGCACUCUGUAAAAAGCAAUGCAAGUGGGAGGCCUAACGCUUAACGGGAGUUGAUGAGCCAGCCUGCCUCCAUCUUAGGUUUGAAAGCCAUCUUACAGUAAAGACAAAACUAGGUCCAUUCCUGUUUGAUUCAAUCUGAUUCUCAAGGCUUGGGUCGUGCCCCACAUGUCACCUUAACUGCAAAUGGUUCCGUACUGCCUGUGCCAGGAAAUGUCAACCAUGCCUUUGUUCCAAAAAGUUGUUUAUCACCAUCUUGCAGCCCUACCUUUGUUUCAAAAGGUUGUUAUGACUAGCUGGAACUCUGACUACUGAAGAACCAGCCUGCCUGCAUCUUAGGCUUAAAAGCCAUCUUACAGUAAAGACAAAGAACGGUAAUCACGCGUUUGUUUCAAAACAUCGCUUACAACUAUCUUGCAGCCCUCCCUUUGUCUCAGAAGGCUGUGGCCACCUACGAGUGCCUGUUAGGACCACCUGACAGUCAUUUUUGUUUCAGGAGGCCCGGAUGACCUCUUAUGCUUACGUUUCUACUGCUCUUUCCCCACCUAUUUUGCCUGCCAAAUCCAUUUGAAAAACCUCUGCCCGAGUUAUAAAAACCUUGUCUUCCUCCUGUCCAGUACUGCCCUCUUGAACCUGCCUUAGGGAGAGGCAGCCCAUGUAACAUGAAAAUCUUUGGGACUAUCAGAGGUCUGCUGCCUCCCUCUUUUAAAAAGAUUUCAAAAUUUUCUGUGUAUGAGUGUUUGCUUGCAUCUGUGUGUGUGAUGAGUAUGGCAGAAUUCAGAGGGCAUCAGAUCCCUGAAGACAAGCUAGGACUGGUGUGCAAGCCGCUGUGGGUACUGGAAGAGAAACAGGUCCUCUUCACCCCUGAGCCGACUGUCCAGCCCAGGAGCUUUCUUUCCCUCUCCCUCUCUUUUUUUAAGAUUUAUUUUUUAUGUAUAUGAUGCUCUAGCUGCAUGUACACCUGCACGCCAGAAGAGGGCAUCAGAUCCCAGUACAGAUGGUUGUGAGCCACCAUGUGGUUGUUGGGACUUGAACUCAGGACCUCUGAAAGCAGACAGUGCUCUUAACCUUUGAGCCAUCUCUGCAGCCUGAUGACAGGGUUUUCCAUGGAGCAGUGACAUGGCCUGACAAAAAUUCACAGUUUUACUGGAGUCUGCUUGGAUAAAGGAGACAAAGCAUAAAUAAAUAUAUAUAAUAUCUUCCAAAAGACCCUCAAAGGGCUCCAUUCAAGGCCAAUGGGGUGUUUACUCACUGAGAUGCACAAGUCUCUAAAAAGCCUGGGGGAGACUGCAAAGUUCCAGGGUUUUGGGUAUGCAAGCACCUUCAUAAACGUUUGAAACAAUUGAUUUCUGUGAAAGCCAGUCAGAUGGCUAAGAUCUUGGGAGAACUUCUCUGACUUCCUGAACAAUUGGCUGAGUUACCAGAUCUGGCAGGGACUUGCCAAAUAAGCUGAAUGGAACUAAAGAUUCCUGCCAUUGGACAAUUAGUUUGGCUCCUUCCUGACUUUUGGCACUUAGAACAAGAUAUACACCUGCUUCCUGCUCCCAAGGAAGUUUUGGUGCUGGAGAAAUAGCAGAAAUCUUAAAGGCCUCGGGGAACGGGUCUUCCAGUAUCCCUUGCUGAUGAAUUACCACCCAGACUUUCUGAACCUGUACCGGGGAGGUCGGCAACAUCCUGCCAGGGCUACUCAUCACCAGGCCCCCAGUCACUAGCCCUCCUUCCCUGGCACCUGUUUUCAAGGGUCUAGGUAGCUAGAUUCAGUUGACACACCUGAAGACUUAAUUUUCUUUGGCUCUGGAUCUCACUUGAUAGCCCAGCCUGUCCCAGGUCCAAGUGAUCCUCCUGCCUCAUCCUCCUCAAUCCUGGGAUUACAGCCGUGGCACCUUCCUCCAAUGAAAGCAGCUAUGUUUUCUG